rnacentral:rRNA from 1 species
UACGUAGGGCGCAAGCGUUGUCCGGAAUCAUUGGGCGUAAAGCGCGUGUAGGCGGUCCGGUAAGUCCGCUGUGAAAGUCGGGGGCUCAACCCUCGGAUGCCGGUGGAUACUGUCGGGCUUGAGUACGGAAGAGGCGAGUGGAAUUCCUGGUGUAGCGGUGAAAUGCGCAGAUAUCAAGGAGGAACACCUAUUGCGAAGGCAGCUCGCUGGGACGUAACUGACGCUGAGACGCGAAAGCGUGGGGAGCAAACAGG